rnacentral:rRNA from 1 species
CAGCCGCCGCGGUAAUACGUAGGGUGCUAGCGUUAAUCGGAUUUACUGGGCGUAAAGCGUGCGCAGGCGGCCCGUUAAGACAGGUGCGAAAUCCCUGGGCUCAACCUAGGAAUUGCGCUUGUGACUGGCGGGCUCGAGUACGGUAGAGGGGGGUGGAAUUCCUGGUGUAGCAGUGAAAUGCGUAGAGAUCAGGAGGAACACCGAUGGCGAAGGCAGCCCCCUGGGCCUGUACUGACGCUCAUGCACGAAAGCGUGGGGAGCAAACAGGAUUAGAUACCCUGGUAGUCCACGCCCUAAACGAUGGGUACUAGCCGUUUGGUGCGCGAUAGCGCUGAGUGGCGAAGCUAACGCGUGAAGUACCCCGCCUGGGGAGUACGGCCGCAAGGUUGAAACUUAAAGGAAUUGGCGGG